CAGCCGCCACGGGAAUACGGAGGAUCCGAGCGUUAUCCGGAAUUAUUGGGUUUAAAGGGUGCGUAGGCGGAUAGAUAAGUCUGCUGUGAAAUCCCCGGGCUCAACCUGGGAAUGGCAGUGGAUACUGGCUCGCUAGAGUGUGUCAGAGGAUGGUGGAAUUCCCGGUGUAGCGGUGAAAUGCGUAGAGAUCGGGAGGAACAUCAGUGGCGAAGGCGGCCAUCUGGGACAACACUGACGCUGAGGCACGAAAGCGUGGGGAGCAAACAGGAUUAGAUACCCCUGUAGUCCCUGUCUCUUAUAC
rnacentral:rRNA from 1 species